CAUAUCUACCCUCCAAAUAAGAGUACAGUCGUAAUUUUUUAUCUUCGGCCUCCGCAGCAGCAGCUCCAGCGGUAACUGACGUGGAUUGCAGGAAUUGAAGGAUGCGUGCCCAGAGAUAUUAAUGGCGAGAGCAACGGGAAUACCGGCAAUGACACUGCCACUGGCAGCUGGACUUGUGCAAGCGCUCGUUUAUGCCAUCUGCCGCUGAUAGUGUUGACCGAGAUCCUGCAAGAAUUGGACCUGCACACUCAGGCCCGCGCCAGACGAGUGUGUGCCUUGUGGCAAGUGAUACUGUCGGGCGACCGCGCAACGCACCACAUCAGCAUCUUAACAGAGAACUUGACCAGCACGCAGUGCGGCGACCAUAACUGCUGCCACAUCGCCAUGGUCUU